UACGUAGGGGGCUAGCGUUGUCCGGAAUCAUUGGGCGUAAAGAGCGUGUAGGCGGCUUGGUAAGUCCGCUGUGAAAGUCAGGGCUCAACCCUGGAAUGCCAGUGGAUACUGUCAAGCUAGAGUCCGGAAGAGGCGAGUGGAAAUUCCUGGUGUAGCGGUGAAAUGCGCAGAUAUCAGGAGGAACACCAAUGGCGAAGGCAGCUCGCUGGGACGGUACUGACGCUGAGACGCGAAAAGCGUGGGGAGCAAACAGG
rnacentral:rRNA from 1 species